rnacentral:rRNA from 2 species
UGUACGACGAAACUGCGAAUGGCUCAUUAAAUCAGUUAUCGUUUAUUUGAUAGUACCUUACUACUUGGAUACCUGUGGUAAUUCUAGAGCUAAUACAUGCUAAAAAUCCCGACUCACGAAGGGAUGUAUUUAUUAGAUUAAAAACCAAUGCCCUCCGGGGCUCUUUGGUGAUUCAUAAUAACUUUUCGAAUCGCAUGGCCUUGCGCCGGCGAUGGUUCAUUCAAAUUUCUGCCCUAUCAACUUUCGAUGGCAGGGUCUUGGCCCGCCAUGGUGACAACGGGUAACGGAGGGUUAGGGCUCGACCCCGGAGAAGGAGCCUGAGAAACGGCUACUACAUCCAAGGAAGGCAGCAGGCGCGCAAAUUACCCAAUCCCGACCCGGGGAGGUAGUGACAAUAAAUACUGAUACAGGGCUCUUUUGGGUCUUGUAAUUGGAAUGAGUACAAUUUAAAUCCCUUAACGAGGAACAAUUGGAGGGCAAGUCUGGUGCCAGCAGCCGCGGUAAUUCCAGCUCCAAUAGCGUAUAUUAAAGUUGUUGCAGUUAAAAAGCUCGUAGUUGAACCUUGGGCCUGGCUGGCCGGUCCGCCUCACCGCGUGCACUGGUUCGGCCGGGCCUUUCCCUCUGGGGAGCCGCAUGCCCUUCACUGGGUGUGUCGGGGAACCAGGACUUUUACUGUGAAAAAAUUAGAGUGUUCAAAGCAGGCCUAUGCUCGAAUACAUUAGCAUGGAAUAAUAGAAUAGGACGUGUGGUUCUAUUUUGUUGGUUUCUAGGACCGCCGUAAUGAUUAAUAGGGACAGUCGGGGGCAUCAGUAUUCAGUUGUCAGAGGUGAAAUUCUUGGAUCUACUGAAGACUAACUACUGCGAAAGCAUUUGCCAAGGAUGUUUUCAUUAAUCAGGAACGAAAGUUAGGGGAUCGAAGACGAUCAGAUACCGUCGUAGUCUUAACCAUAAACUAUGCCGACUAGGGAUCGGGCGAUGUUAUUAUUUGACUCGCUCGGCACCUUACGAGAAAUCAAAGUCUUUGGGUU